GGAUUCUUGAUUAGGCAGUACAAAUACUAAAAUUGAAAUGAUAUAUAGAAGAUAAACAUAGCCCCCUCAAGAAAAUAACAGGCACAAUUUUGAAGCAUUCAAUAGUUUU